rnacentral:lncRNA from 1 species
AGUGAGUACUUCAUUCUAGUUAACUGAGCAUCUACUUUGGAUAAGGCACCGUGGAGGUUCAGAGGGAAGAGCUGUGUCUGUUUUGGUAAACACUUCAAGGCUGACACACGUUCGGGAUGUGCGAUGAUGCAAAAGUGAGGACUCCAUUCUGAAGGGAACAAGUUACCAAAGCCAGAUGCGCUCAGCUCCGGUGGUUCACAGCAGUGGGGACCAAGAUGGAUUUGCCCGCAAAAAUCGACCUGCGACUAGAGGCUCUGCGUUUGCCAAAAAGAAUUCUGCGGGGUGUCGGUGCUUAAGGGCAGUCUCAGCGGCCAGCCGGGGGUGGCUCUGUCUGCAGCCCUGCUCUAGCCACCUUUUUCCUCCACGGCCUCCAGAGGAGAACAUCGGAGGCGUGGUGAUCUGAAAAGAGCCACUCAGGCUAGAGGGAGGGACUGAGCACC